rnacentral:rRNA from 1 species
AGCGAACGCUGGCGGCAGGCUUAACACAUGCAAGUCGAGCGGGCACUUUCGGGUGUCCGCGGCGGACGGGUGAGUAACGCGUGGGAACGUGCCCUCUGGUUCGGAAUAACUCAGGGAAACUUGAGCUAAUACCGGAUACGCCCUUUUGGGGAAAGGCUUGCUGCCGGAGGAUCGGCCCGCGUCUGAUUAGCUAGUUGGUGAGGUAACGGCUCACCAAGGCGACGAUCAGUAGCUGGUCUGAGAGGAUGAUCAGCCACACUGGGACUGAGACACGGCCCAGACUCCUACGGGAGGCAGCAGUGGGGAAUAUUGGACAAUGGGCGCAAGCCUGAUCCAGCCAUGCCGCGUGAGUGAUCAAGGCCUUAGGGUUGUAAAGCGCUUUUAUCCGGGACGAUAAUGACGGUACCGGAGGAAUAAGCCCCGGCUAACUUCGUG